rnacentral:rRNA from 1 species
CCUACGGGAGGCAGCAGUGAGGAAUAUUGGACAAUGGACGAGAGUCUGAACCAGCCACGUAGCGUGAAGGAUGACUGCCCUAUGGGUUGUAAACUUCUUUUAUAUGGGAAUAAAACGUUCCACGUGUGGGAUUUUGUAUGUACCAUAUGAAUAAGGAUCGGCUAACUCCGUGCCAGCAGCCGCGGUAAUACGGAGGAUCCGAGCGUUAUCCGGAUUUAUUGGGUUUAAAGGGCGCGUAGGUGGAUUGUUAAGUCAGUUGUGAAAGUUUGCGGCUCAACCGUAAAAUUGCAGUUGAAACUGGCAGUCUUGAGUACAGUAGAGGUGGGCGGAAUUCGUGGUGUAGCGGUGAAAUGCUUAGAUAUCACGAAGAACUCCGAUUGCGAAGGCAGUUCACUGGACUGCAACUGACACUGAGGCUCGAAAGUGUGGGUAUCAAACAGGAUUAGAUACCCCGGUAGUC